UACGGGAGGCAGCAGUGGGGAAUAUUGCACAAUGGGCGAAAGCCUGAUGCAGCUAUGCCGCGUGUAUGAAGAAGGCCUUAGGGUUGUAAAGUACUUUCAUCGGGGAGGAAAAACAAAACUAAUAAUUUUAUUUCUUGACGUUACCCGAAAAAGAAGCACCGGCUAACUCCGUGCCAGCAGCCGCGGUAAUACGGAGGGUGCUAGCGUUAAUCAGAAUUACUGGGCGUAAAGAGCACGUAGGUGGUUUUUUUAAAGUCAGAUGUGAAAUCCCUGGGCUUAACCUAGGAACUGCAUUUUGAAACUGAAAUACUAGAGUAUCGUAGAGGGAGGUAGAAUUCUAGGUGUAGCGGUGAAAUGCGUAGAUAUCUGGAGGAAUACCUGUGGCGAAAGCGGCCUCCUAAACCGAAUACUGACACUGAGGUGCGAAAGCGUGGGGAGCAAACAGGGAUUAGAUACC
rnacentral:rRNA from 1 species